ACAGCAGCAGCCGCGGUAAUACAGAGGGUGCAAGCGUUAAUCGGAAUUACUGGGCGUAAAGCGCGCGUAGGUGGUUUGUUAAGUUGGAUGUGAAAUCCCUGAGCUUAACUUAGGAAUUGCAUUCGAUACUGGUUGGCUUGAGUUCGGAAGAGGGUUGUGGAAUUCCCAGUGUAGAGGUGAAAUUCGUAGAUAUUGGGAAGAACACCGGUGGCGAAGGCGGCAACCUGGUCCGAUACUGACGCUGAGGCGCGAAAGCGUGGGGAGCAAACAGGAUUAGAUACCCCCGUAGUCCCUGUCUCUUAUAA
rnacentral:rRNA from 1 species